CUCUCUCUCUCUCUCUCUCUCUCUCUCUCUCUCUCUCUCUCUCUCUCUUCUGCUUUGCUCUGGGAAGUUUUAUUUUAUAGAUGACGGAAGACUGUCACUCAUCCUCUGCCGAUCAAAGAGCUGUUACUCGCGGCCAUCGUCUUUUACUUUUUAGCUCCGUCGUCGACUUCUACAACCUAAGCCACCAUCAUGCGAUGAAGCUAAAGAGACUAAUGAGGACUGUGCCAUAGUUCUUGAGCUAUCUGAAAGUGACCCUUAUUUUGAUAAAUAGAAGAAGUUAUUUCAAAAUAAGGGUUUCAAUCCCAAGGAGUGGGUUUCUCUCAAGAGCUUUUCAUGUCCUAGUUGGAUAAGUGUUACAUUGAAAAUGAUGCUUCAGAUAGCAAAAAUCAUAUAUUUGAUGAGGUAGAUUCUAAUUAUGCUCUUUAAACUACUUGGUUUUUCACCCUAAGGACCUGUUUGAAAGAAAGUCAGAACAAUUGGCUUAUUCUCUAUUUGACCUAUAGGAAAGUAAAACAUUCUAUCACAUGGGUUUUCUUCCCUUGUUAACUUCCCAAAACUUGUAAUUUCAGUGUCUUUCUUGUUUGUUUUUGGCACAAAACUGGGGCAUGAAUAGCAGUAAAGCCUAGUUGUUCCUUCAAUUUUAUGGAUGAGUAACUCAUGGAAUUGGAUUCCAAAAGGACAAUAUUUCAAUUGAUAUUCUUUUUUUUUUUCUAGUUUUUGAAUUAGUAAUUGUUUUGGAUUUAUCUACAUUAAUACGGCUUCCAUGCCUUGUUACUAGUUUAUUAUGAU